GUAGCUACUAACUGGGUAUACGUGGUCCGGAACGCACUGCCAAGGAACACUACCGCCACCGAGAGUGCCGCGAAUUUCUUGACUAGACCACGGCGGUGGCGUCGACUUGGUACCGUUCUGAGAGGGUCGUUCGGUGCCAUUGCUGUGGUGAAUGGAAAAACACGGUCAGACAGUGUUGGGAAAAAUAUGUAAAUUAUUAUGUCGAUGUCACAACACAAUGUUCAUCUCGUUUUACUAUCACUCAGCCAAGUCUCCAUAAUAUUAUUUAAAUGAGUAGUUGCAGAUUUAUUAUUGUUCAUAAGCCGUUAUUAAAUCGUAAAAAUGCAGAAACGCAGUUGGAUUACCGAGAUUGCUUUAUUAUUAUUAUUAUUAUUAUUUAAAAUAAAAUUAAUAUUAUUAACUCACCCAUUUGUCGACGACCUGGCUGAAUUGUAAGGGAAGUCUCGCAUCAGAUUUUCCGCCCUCCUAUUGUGCGCAUUGUCUUUCUGCUCGAGAUCGUGUAACCUAUAACAAGACAUCAAUAAACGUAUUUUAAAAAAUA